UACAGAGGGCCCGAGCGUUUCGCGGAAUCACUGGGCUUAAAGGGUGCGUAGGCGGGAACUUAAGUGUCUUGUGAAAUCCCACGGCUCAACCAUGGAAUUGCAGGGCAUACUGGGUUCCUGGAGGCUUGUAGGCGCUGCCGGAACUGUAGGUGUAGCGGUGAAAUGCGUAGAUAUCUACAGGAACGCCGAUGGUGAAGACGGGCAGCUGGGCCAGCUCUGACGCUGAGGCACGAAAGCGUGGGGAUCAAACAGG
rnacentral:misc_RNA from 1 species